GACGAACGCUGGCGGCGUGCCUAAUACAUGCAAGUAGAACGCACAGUUUAUACCGUAGCUUGCUACACCAUAGACUGUGAGUUGCGAACGGGUGAGUAACGCGUAGGUAACCUGCCUGGUAGCGGGGGAUAACUAUUGGAAACGAUAGCUGAUACCGCAUAAUAUUGAUUAUUGCAUGAUAAUUGAUUGAAAGAUGCUAUUGCAUCACUACCAGAUGGACCUGCGUUGUAUUAGCUAGUAGGUGAGGUAACGGCUCACCUAGGCGACGAUACAUAGCCGACCUGAGAGGGUGAUCGGCCACACUGGGACUGAGACACGGCCCAGACUCCUACGGGAGGCAGCAGUAGGGAAUCUUCGGCAAUGGACGAAAGUCUGACCGAGCAACGCCGCGUGAGUGAAGAAGGUUUUCGGAUCGUAAAGCUCUGUUGUAAGAGAAGAACGGGUGUGAGAGUGGAAAGUUCACACUGUGACGGUAUCUUACCAGAAAGGGACGGCUAACUACGUG
rnacentral:rRNA from 1 species